AGUGAACGCUGGCGGUAGGCCUAACACAUGCAAGUCGAACGGCAGCACAGGAGAGCUUGCUCUCUGGGUGGCGAGUGGCGGACGGGUGAGGAAUACAUCGGAAUCUACUCUGUCGUGGGGGAUAACGUAGGGAAACUUACGCUAAUACCGCAUACGACCUACGGGUGAAAGCAGGGAACCUUCGGGCCUUGCGCUAUUGAAUGAGCCGAUGUCGGAUUAGCUAGUUGGCGGGGUAAAGGCCCACCAAGGCGACGGUCCGUAGCUGGUCUGAGAGGAUGAUCAGCCACACUGGAACUGAGACACGGUCCAGACUCCUACGGGAGGCAGCAGUGGGGAAUAUUGGACAAUGGGCGCAAGCCUGAUCCAGCCAUACCGCGUGGGUGAAGAAGGCCUUCGGGUUGUAAAGCCCUUUUGUUGGGAAAGAAAUCCAGCUGGCUAAUACCCGGUUGGGAUGACGGUACCCAAAGAAUAAGCACCGGCUAACUUCGUGCCAGCCGCCGCAGUAA
rnacentral:rRNA from 1 species